GAAAACACGUUGUCCGAAAUUGGGGAGAGCACAUAAGAAGAAUUUUAGGGGGCCAUCGUCCAAUGUUGUUGCUUCUGCUCCUCCUACCGUUGACUCUAGUUCUGGUUCUGUAUACUCAUCUGAGAGUGCUUCCCAAAUAUCUGAUAUUGCAGAACAACUUCAAAGACUUCUUGCCACUCAAUCACAUGCCAUGUCUGCCACCUCUUCUAAAGGUUUG
rnacentral:lncRNA from 1 species